GGGAAGGUGGCUCAGUGGUAGAGUGCUCGCCUGGCAUGCAUGAGGCCCUGGGUUCGAUUCCUCAGCACCCCA
rnacentral:tRNA from 1 species